rnacentral:pre_miRNA from 1 species
ACAGGGUUUACCACAGCCGCUGACACAUACUGCACACUUUUUGAAACAAGCGGCAUACUCACUUUCGAAGCCACCGCGAUGUGUCAACACACCGCGGCUUCGAAGUGAGUAUGCCGCUUGUUUCAAAAAGUGUGCAGUAUGUGUCAGCGGCUGUGGUAAACCCUGUAAGCAGGAAA